GGUGAACGCUGGCGGCGUGCCUAACACAUGCAAGUCGAGCGGUGCAGUUUGAAGCUUCGGUGGAAAGCUGCAUAGCGGCGGACGGGUGAGGAAAACGUAGGAACGUGCCCCUUGGAGUUGGAUAGCCAUGGGAAACUGUGGGUAAACCGACAUAGACUCGGGAGAGUAAAGGCCGAAAGGCGCCGAGGGAGCGGUCUGCGUCCCAUCAGGUAGUUGGUAAGGUAAAGGCCUACCAAGCCGACGACGGGUAACCGGUCUGAGAGGAUGGCCGGUCACAAGGGCACUGAGAGACGGGCCCUACUCCUACGGGAGGCAGCAGUGGGGGAUUUUGGACAAUGGGCGAAAGCCUGAUCCAGCGACGCCGCGUGGAGGACGAAGCCCUUCGGGGUGUAAACGUCCUUUUCUCAGGGAAAAAGGAUGAUGGUACCUGAGGAAUAAGCCCCGGCUAACUACGUG
rnacentral:rRNA from 1 species